rnacentral:lncRNA from 1 species
UUCCCUCUUCACCCACCCAAUCAUCGCCCAGCUCGAGAACACACCCGACCCAUACGACGACUCCGACCCGACCGUCGCCCGCUACGAGUGGACCCUCCUCAUCUUCCAGUUCUGGUACUCGAUCUUCCUCUUCGCAUUCUCUCUCCUCUCCACCGCCGCCGUCGUCUUCACCGUCGCCUCCCUCUACACCGCCAAGCCGGUAUCCUUCUCCUCCACCGCCGCCGCGAUCCCCAAGCUCUUCAAGCGCCUCUUCGUCACCUUCAUCUUCGUCGCCCUCCUCAUGUUCCUCUACAACGCCGUCUUCCUCAUCGUCCUCGUGAUAUUCGUCAUCGUGAUCGACACCUCCACCGCCGCCGAUCAGAGCCCCGGCCUCAUCCUGUUCGCCCUCCUAAUCGUAUUCGCCGUC